GACGAACGCUGGCGGCGUGCCUAAUACAUGCGAGUUGAGCGCUGAAGGUUGGUACUUGUACCAACUGGAUGAGCAGCGAACGGGUGAGUAACGCGUGGGGAAUCUGCCUUUGAGCGGGGGACAACAUUUGGAAACGAAUGCUAAUACCGCAUAAAAACUUUAAACACAAGUUUUAAGUUUGAAAGAUGCAAUUGCAUCACUCAAAGAUGAUCCCGCGUUGUAUUAGCUAGUUGGUGAGGUAAAGGCUCACCAAGGCGAUGAUACAUAGCCGACCUGAGAGGGUGAUCGGCCACAUUGGGACUGAGACACGGCCCAAACUCCUACGGGAGGCAGCAGUAGGGAAUCUUCGGCAAUGGACGAAAGUCUGACCGAGCAACGCCGCGGGAGUGAAGAAGGGUUUCGGAUCGUAAAACUCUGUUGGUAGAGAAGAACGUUGGUGAGAGUGGAAAGCUCAUCAAGUGACGGUAACUACACAGAAAGGGACGGCUAACCACGUG
rnacentral:rRNA from 1 species